AACUGAGAGAGUAAAGUGGCGCACGGGUGAGUAACGCGUGGGUAAUCUGCCUUGGAGACAGGAAUAACACCUCGAAAGGGGUGCUAAUACCGGAUAAUAUCCAUGAGACUCCGGUCUUGGGGAUCAAAGGUGGUUGAUGCUUGCAAGCUAUUGCUCCAAGAUGAGCCCGCGUACCAUUAGCUAGUUGGUGGGGUAAUGGCUCACCAAGGCUAUGAUGGUUAGCUGGUCUGAGAGGAUGGCCAGCCACACUGGAACUGAGAUACGGUCCAGACUCCUACGGGAGGCAGCAGUGAGGAAUCUUGCGCAAUGGGGGAAACCCUGACGCAGCAACGCCGCGUGAGUGAUGAAGGCCUUCGGGUCGUAAAGCUCUGUCAGAUGGGAAGAAGGGGGCAGUGGUAAACAAUCGCUGACCCUUGACGGUACCGUCAAAGGAAGCACCGGCUAACUCCGUGCCAGCAGCCGCGGUAA
rnacentral:rRNA from 1 species